rnacentral:rRNA from 1 species
UACAGAGGGUGCAAGCGUUGCUCGGAUUUACUGGGCGUAAAGCGUACGCAGACGGCCUGGAAGGUCGGGCGUGAAAGCCCCGGGCUCAACCCGGGAAAUGCGUCCGAAACCACCUAGCUAGAGUAUGAGAGAGGAAAGCGGAAUUCCUGGUGUAGAGGUGAAAUUCGUAGAUAUCAGGAGGAACAUCUGCGGCGAAGGCGGCUUUCUGGCUCAUUACUGACGUUCAGGUACGAAAGCGUGGGUAGCAAACAGG